UUACGAUCGCCGGAUAUUCCAUCUUCUUACAGGAGAUUCAAGCAGUCCUUGCGUUCUCAGUGUUAACUGCGGUGAAGUUUGUCAGAGAGGAAACUUGGGAGGCUUUCAUUGCUGAUCUCUUAUUCUAUUCUAAGGUCUUCCUUUUUGCAGUUACUCUGAAUAUUGAUUAUCAUGCAGCUUUCUGCUACUCAGUGGCUUUUGCAGGUAUGUUUAAUAUUGA